GAAGUAUCGAGACAUUGUACGGCAGUUCAUCAAAGGCACAGAUGGGUUUUCUGGAGCUUUUGCUGAAUGCCUUUGUGGGAGCCCUAAUCUUUACCAGGGAGGAGGAAGGAAACCAUGGAAUAGUAUCAACUUUAUUUGUGCACAUGAUGGUUUCAGUUUGGCUGAUUUAGUGACUUACAAUAGUAAACAUAACUUAGCAAAUGGUGAAGACAACAAUGACGGUGAAAAUCAUAAUAAUAGCUGGAACUGUGGACAGGAGGGAGAGUUUGU
rnacentral:misc_RNA from 1 species